rnacentral:lncRNA from 1 species
UCGUGGGGACGGAUCUGGGACCCGAAGGCCAGCCGUGGUUCCAGACGAGCGGUGUGGCCGUGGCGGCGGCGUCCCCGGGCAGACGGGGGUUCAGGUCCGCGUCCGCUGCUCCAGGUUUCCCAGUAUUCAGUGAAACCUGCCAACCAGGAAAAGGACUGUUUAUCCUUUGAGGAUGUGGCUGUGUACUUCUCCUGGGAGGAAUGAACACUGCUUGAUGACUCAAAAGAUCCUGCACCAGACUGUGAUGUCAGAGAUCUGAACAUCAUGUCUUUGAUGGAGAGAGCCGCAUCUUUCUGACAGCUGGCCUAUGAAUACCAAGUCUUUCUGCCACAGUCUUGGAGUAUAAAAUACAGGUUAAAAAACAAGUCAAGUUUCACAACAGCUCUAUUUCUCUCAAUUGCAUCAAAGGCACACAGAGUUGAAAUUAAUGGACUAAACAAACACAUCUGGCCUGGGGUCAAGAGACUUAACACUGUCAGAUUCCCUGUGACCUGAUGACACUCUAAAUAUUUGGGAUGUUUGUGACUCAAGUACUUCUGGUGACAUGCCUUAUGUUUGAAUGUAACAGGAAUUUGGCACUGGACUUAUAUCUUCUGGGAUCCAUGACAUGACUCAGCUGGAGUUUUGGGGAGA